rnacentral:rRNA from 1 species
AUUGAACGCUGGCGGCAGGCCUAACACAUGCAAGUCGAACGGUAACAGGAAGAAGCUUGCUUCUUUGCUGACGAGUGGCGGACGGGUGAGUAAUGUCUGGGAAACUGCCUGAUGGAGGGGGAUAACUACUGGAAACGGUAGCUAAUACCGCAUAACGUCGCAAGACCAAAGAGGGGGACCUUCGGGCCUCUUGCCAUCGGAUGUGCCCAGAUGGGAUUAGCUAGUAGGUGGGGUAACGGCUCACCUAGGCGACGAUCCCUAGCUGGUCUGAGAGGAUGACCAGCCACACUGGAACUGAGACACGGUCCAGACACCUACGGGAGGCAGCAGUGGGGAAUAUUGCACAAUGGGCGCAAGCCUGAUGCAGCCAUGCCGCGUGUAUGAAGAAGGCCUUCGGGUUGUAAAGUACUUUCAGCGGGGAGGAAGGGAGUAAAGUUAAUACCUUUGCUCAUUGACGUUACCCGCAGAAGAAGCACCGGCUAACUCCGUG